rnacentral:rRNA from 1 species
GAUGAACGCUGGCGGCGUGCCUAAUACAUGCAAGUCGAGCGAACAGACGAGGAGCUUGCUCCUCUGACGUUAGCGGCGGACGGGUGAGUAACACGUGGAUAACCUACCUAUAAGACUGGGAUAACUUCGGGAAACCGGAGCUAAUACCGGAUAAUAUAUUGAACCGCAUGGUUCAAUAGUGAAAGACGGUUUUGCUGUCACUUAUAGAUGGAUCCGCGCCGCAUUAGCUAGUUGGUAAGGUAACGGCUUACCAAGGCAACGAUGCGUAGCCGACCUGAGAGGGUGAUCGGCCACAAUGGAACUGAGACAAGGUCCAGACUCCGACGGGAGGCAGCAGUAGGGAAUCUUCCGCAAUGGGCGAAAGCCUGAAGGAGCAACGCCGCGUGAGUGAUGAAGGUCUUCGGAUCGUAAAACUCUGUUAUUAGGGAAGAACAAAUGUGUAAGUAACUAUGCACGUCUUGACGGUACCUAAUCAGAAAGCCACGGCUAACUACGUG